UAUGAUGAAUGCGAGUAUGGUUUUCAUGACUGUGGAAAAAACCCUUGCAUCAAUACCGAGGGAUCUUACCGCUGUGACUGCACUGAUAACACAAACAACGAGUCAUACCAUGGUGCUCGCUGUGAUGGAUGGACGACAAUAGGUGACUUUGGCAUUGCGGUGAAGGUUUUUCCAGUUAAUCUCAUUGUCCCAGUCGGGCCUCAUACUUACAAUGAAGCCGUUCACCGCUGCGAUACUCUUUCUGGUGGAUCAAGAGUAUACUUCUACAAUGGUAUAGGGAAUUUGGUGACGUCCUCCUUGAAAGCUCUACACGAAACUAUUGACCUUGCUAAUGACUCCAGUUCUUACUGGGUUAGGUACAAUGGUAUCGGUCAAGAAUGCUUCGAUAUUCAUGGUACAGAUGCACCUAAACAAUAUAAUUGUGAAACAAAAAGACAGGCAAUGUGCAGUCGGCCUGCUAUGUGGUACCGGAAUGAGGAUAAUGUCGAGGAACAGGACACCACCCAGUCAGGUGUGGGCAAUUCCAGGCUCAAGUGUAUGCCAAAUACAUAUUUUAUAGAGUCAACCUGGUGGCAAAAAGACACGCUCAGUGCAUACAAUGAAACUGCUGGUCAAUGCAAAAAAAACCUUGGACACACAUUGCCAAGUGCAGGAAGUGUUCCGUGUCUGGUGGAUUUCAUGGAAUUGCGAAAUAAAACCAACGUCUGGACAGAAGGUGAAAGAGCUGUGCAAGCCAAUGGAGAGUAUCAUACAACAACAACUGCUUCCAUUGUUUGUGAGGCUCAGCUGCACACGCAAUGCUGGGACGGCACUGGUUCCAAAUACAAUGUAUUUGCUUUUCCUCACUAUGAGUUUACUUGGAAAGCAGCAAAAAUCAAAUGCGAGUAUCAAGGUGGAAAGAUGUUCGAUAUAUCUCAAAACACCGAGUGUUUUAAGAACUUUCUUCUACAACUACGUUGGAGAAUUUCUUCUCAAUACAUGUGGGCAGUGAACAAUCAUGAGAGAGGCUACGGAAUGGACGAAUGGUCAUGGUUAAAGCCUGUGACCUUGCCAAACAAACGUGGAAAUACUGUUGUUU